GGUCAGGACAGCUAUGCGCUCAGAUGCUAGUACAGGAAUUGGGCUUUGCUCGGUGUGAAAGGGCGACGCAUGGCAAGGAAGAGAUUGUGUGUGUGUGUGUGUAUAUGUACGCGUGUGCGUGUAUGUGUAUGUAUGCAUGUGCGUGUGUACAUGCGUGCGCGCAGAUGGGCGCCAGCACACACGAAGCCUGCGAGAAUUUUCCUAGGAGCCACAGUCCGUGUGGAUCUCCAGUGAAGCUUCACACACGUCUCCAUCUUCUCCAUGAGCUGCUUAUGGCCCCAUCCCCAUCAGCUUGGAUCCUCAGAAAAUCAAGCAACAGCUGUUGCAACCCUGGCCAAGCUCAGCUGAGCCGCUGAACUGCUUCCUCUGGGGCACUGGGGAACUUCUGAACACAGAAGUCUCUUCUCCAACAGCCAGGCCAGGAGCUGCUGAUAAACCGCAGCACACGCCUGAGCCAGAGUUCCCACUGACAGUCUGCUGAACACUUAACUCUGUGCUAAGCACCAUCUCUUUAAAAUCUCUCCACAAUCCUACAAGUGGAGUUUUCUAGGUGGACAAGAUGUGGAGCAGGUACAUGUAAGCACCUGGCUCAGUUAAGUUCUGAUGGUAACACACCCUGGACCCCUAGGAAAACACCAGCAGCUCCUGCUUUGGCUCUGCUUACGAGAAUCCUGCUGUCAGCCUAAGGAAGAUUCCCUCAAUCAGAAGUUGGACAAUGGUGGGAGCUUGAGACAUAAUUUCUUACCCACCCUACACAUACAGUUUCCCCUUUUAAUUUAGCCUGGGACAUACUUGAAUGGCCGUUUCCAAUCUGAGCUUUUAGGUACAGCAUUGUGAGUAAAACUGCUGCUUUUUCUUCCAAGAAGAGAGCGACAAUGACAUUCAACAUGGUGGUCAGGGCCUGCUUGUGCCCAUGAACGGGUUCCUCCUUGUAUCGAUUUCACUUGGGUUUUCACUUGAAACACCAAAGGAAUGUCCACACCUGGCUUUGAGCCAUGGCAGGGGUCAGUGUUUGUAGAGGUAGAUGUGACAGAACUCACCGGCACAGCACGUGACCCUCCAAGGUUGGGACAAAGUGACCAAGGGGCCACUUGAGUCAGGCUGGCUUCUGCUGAGCUCAGCUCACUGCUGUCCCCUGGAAACCUGUGCUGAAACAAGAUCACAUCGGGAUCAGAGCUAUCUGUCUCCCCCUGACUUGACUGAAUGGUCCCCUCAGUGUGCUCAUCUGUAAAGUGGGUCUUAUGAGCAGGUGGAGGGAAGAAAGCAGAGUUACUUCAACUUCCAAGCAGGGGCUCGAGAGGGAAAGGAAGGUGGAAUAGAGUUUGCCCACUACAGCCUGCUGAGGAUGUGCGCUUCUGAGGCCAGGCGAUGGAGCGAACCCAUGUGGUGGAGAAGUCGCAGCGGCCCCGUGAAGCUCAACGUCACGUCAAUCUGCUUCAACUCGCCUGUAGUCUGUCUCCCCUCACCUCACCUUGCUUCAUGGUGAACGCAGGAGUCUAGAGAACGGAGCACAAGGACAAUGCUCGAACAGUGAAGAAAUGCACCAGAAUGGAGCAGAGGCCAUGUACCGUCGUCAGGGAAGAGAUGAGGCAAGGUGAUGGCUGAUGGGGACAGGGGCUGCACAGGUCAGUAAGAAUGGGCUUGAAGCUCAUGAACCUUCCACCUGGCGGAGGGAGAAGUGAGCACUAAUCCCAGAACUGAGCUGGUCAUCCACAAGUCCUCAAACUUCAAUGGACUUCUGAUUCUCUCAGGAAAAAUGCCGGCUCUUAUCCAGGACUGAUCAUAGCUACAUGGUUUCCUCCUAUCAUCUCAAGCCUCUAACUUGCCUUUUAGCAUCUCUCCUCUGCUCCAGACACAUGUAUUUUCUUUCAGAGAUCCUUACCAAAGUCCUUUCAACCUUUCAACAGACUCUUAGCACGUGCUGUCCUGCUUGGUUCAUCUUCUACCUGGUCCAUAGGUACUGUAACCUGGUCCAUAUAUGCAUUAACAUCAGAUGUAUGAUACUUCCUUGGGAAAGCUUUCUCAGUUUACUUGAACAAACCAAGUCCCUCUUAUAUCCUCAUGCUCCAUGUAAUGUCCCUCUUAGCUCUUAUUCCCAUCACAAUUAUGUCACAUUUAUUUAUGAAAUAACUUAUUUUUCUCCUCUAGACUAAAAACUCCACAAAGAGCAAAUAUUGUGUUGUCUUAGGCAAUAAACUU